GAUGAACGCUGGCGGCGUGCCUAAUACAUGCAAGUCGAGCGAACACACGGUGAGCUCUCUCCUCUAAGGGUGGCGGCUGACGGGUGGGUAACGCAUAGAUAACCUACCUCUAUGACUUGGGGGACAUCGGAGAACCACUUCUGAUACUACCGAAUAUGUUCAACGGGUGAAUUCAGUAGUUCAUGGCAGUUUUGCUGUUACUUUGAGAUGAUGUCGGAUCAGAUAGUUGGAGGGGUAAAGGCACACCAAGGCGACGAUACGUAGCUGAUCUGAGAGGAUGAUCGGCCACACUGGAACUGAGACACGGUCCAGACUCCUACGGGAGGCAGCAGUGGGGAAUAUUGGGCAAUGGGCGCAAGCCUGACGCAGCAAUGCCGCGUGAGUGAAGAAGGUCUUCGGAUCGUAAAACCCUGUUAUUAGGAAAGAACAACUGCGGAAGUAACUAUCGCUGUUCUGACGGUACCCAAUGAGAAAGCACCGGCUAACUUCGUG
rnacentral:rRNA from 1 species